AGAAGUGGGGAUGACGUCAAAUCAUCAUGCCCUUAUGACCUGGGCUACACACGUGCUACAAUGGGCGGUACAAAGGGUCGCGAACCCGCGAAGGGGGAGCCAAUCCCAAAAAGCCGCUCUCAGUUCGGAUUGCAGGCUGCAACUCGCCUGCAUGAAGCCGGAAUCGCUAGUAAUCGCGGAUCAGCAUGCCGCGGUGAAUACGUUCCCGGGCCUU
rnacentral:rRNA from 1 species